UGAAGAGUUUGAUCAUGGCUCAGAUUGAACGCUGGCGGCAGGCCUAACACAUGCAAGUCGAACGGUAACAGGAAGCAGCUUGCUGCUUCGCUGACGAGUGGCGGACGGGUGAGUAAUGUCUGGGAAACUGCCUGAUGGAGGGGGAUAACUACUGGAAACGGUGGCUAAUACCGCAUAACGUCGCAAGACCAAAGAGGGGGACCUUCGGGCCUCUUGCCAUCAGAUGUGCCCAGAUGGGAUUAGCUUGUUGGUGAGGUAACGGCUCACCAAGGCGACGAUCCCUAGCUGGUCUGAGAGGAUGACCAGCCACACUGGAACUGAGACACGGUCCAGACUCCUACGGGAGGCAGCAGUGGGGAAUAUUGCACAAUGGGCGCAAG
rnacentral:rRNA from 1 species